UAGCUCAGCUGGGAGAGCGCCUGCCUUGCACGCAGGAGGUCUGCGGUUCGAUCCCACA
rnacentral:tRNA from 1 species